CUCCCCCGAUCUUUACGCUCCCGUAGAGAGCGGCGACAACAGCGGCGGCCCGGGGAGCUCGCCAGCCAUGGCGGCGCGGCAGCUCUGCUCGCCGGCCAAGCGUACAGCGGAUUGGAUCCCGCGCGCUUUGCCGUCGAACGAGGCCUCUGCGUCCGCGCGCGCCCGACAGUUCGUCCGGUGGGGAGGGACUCGCCGGCCACCGCGGCUUUAGGGGACGGCGGGGACGGCCACACACGCGAGCGGCGGCGCGACCCUUUCGAGGUGACGGAGGCGUGCAAGACACGACGGCCAUGCGACGCACACGUCCAUAAGCAGGAAGAAAGGGGCCGGAUCGAUUCAUCCCGCACGGUGGCUCGAGGGACAGCGUCGUCGCAGCACCGACGUCCGCGCGCGGCGUCGGCCGUGCGGACCCCGGAGGGUGGGGACAUCGAUGCGGCGUCAUAUGGCACAGUGGAGCUCAUGAUCUCCAGUGGCGAGGAUGAGCAGCAACAGUGGCACCGUGAUGAUGUAGUAGUGGAGAGGCAGCAGCUCAUCCAGGAGCUUCGCCGGUGGCAGCGGGAAGCCGCCGACACAGCCUUGCGGUGGCCGGCGAUGGAAACGGCCUUCCCAUUGCUUCAGCACACCCCUAGAUCGGUAGGGUUUGCGGGAAUUAAGGGCUGGAUAUCAUGUACCUGAACUCACUCGUCAUAGGUAUCCAGGCCCUACCCUUUAUAUGUGUGAUGGCAACAGGGGACCAAAACCAUCUGUCGGUUAGAGGUGCCCCCAAUCAGGGCGAUUCUGUUGGGGUCACAGCCACCUACGUUGGUUGGUGGCCCAUCCCCUUAACGUUACUUUUUACCUGGUCAGAGCCGAGAUCAACCAACAGUCCCCACUAGAAUAAUCAUCAGUAGAAGAUCCUCCGCCACCCAUAAAGAAAUGAAAAUCUUCGUCAUCCUGGCGUGAAGGAAUAAAUAACACAAGUAUGUGGAGGGACUUAAUGACAGGAUUAAAUUGACAGCAUCAAGCAAACAUGCCAAC
rnacentral:rRNA from 1 species